UCCCUGAUGGUCCAGUGGUUGAGACCCAUGCUUCCACUGCAGGUGGCAUGGGUUCACUUCCUGUUUGGGGAA
rnacentral:tRNA from 1 species